rnacentral:misc_RNA from 1 species
UCCGGCUUAACGCCGGCAGUCCCCCCCGUUUCCGGGGCCUCCAGGACAUGUCAAGGGUAGGUAAGGUUUUUCGCGUUGCAUCGAAUUAAUCCACAUAAUCCACCGCUUGUGCGCGUCCCCGUCAAUUCCUUUGAGUUUCAACCUUGCGGCCGUACUCCCCAGGCGGUCAACUUCACGCGUUAGCUUCGUUACUGAGUCAGUGAAGACCCAACAACCAGUUGACAUCGUUUAGGGCGUGGACUAC